AUUGAACGCUGGCGGCAGGCUUAACACAUGCAAGUCGAGCGGGCGAGGUUGCUUCGGUAACUGAGCUAGCGGCGGACGGGUGAGUAAUGCUUAGGAAUCUGCCUAUUAGUGGGGGACAACAUUCCGAAAGGGAUGCUAAUACCGCAUACGUCCUACGGGAGAAAGCAGGGGACCUUCGGGCCUUGCGCUAAUAGAUGAGCCUAAGUCGGAUUAGCUAGUUGGUGGGGUAAAGGCCUACCGAGGCGACGAUCUGUAGCGGGUCUGAGAGGAUGAUCCGCCACACUGGGACUGAGACACGGCCCAGACUCCUACGGGAGGCAGCAGUGGGGAAUAUUGGACAAUGGGGGGAACCCUGAUCCAGCCAUGCCGCGUGUGUGAAGAAGGCCUUUUGGUUGUAAAGCACUUUAAGUGGGGAGGAGGCUUACCUGGUUAAUACCUGGGCUAAGUGGACGUUACCCACAGAAUAAGCACCGGCUAACUCUGUGCCAGCCGCCGCAGUAA
rnacentral:rRNA from 1 species